AAGUGUCCUUUAAUAGGGAAGUGAACAGAAGUGUCCUUUAAUAGGGAAGCAAACAAACACUGUUGUGGUGUCUUCAGCAGAAGAGUCCUUUAAUAGGGAAGUGAACACUGUUGUGGUGUCUUCAGCAGAAGAGUCCUUUAAUAGGGAAGCAAACACUGGGUGGUGUCUUCAGCAGAAGAGUCAUUUAAUAGGGAAGUGAACAAACACUGUGUGGUGUCUUCAGCAGAAGAGAAGAGUCCUUUAAUAGGGAAGUAAACAGUGUUGUGGUGUCUUCAGCAGAAGAGUCCUUUAAUAGGGAACCAAACACUGUUUGGUGUCUUCAGCAGAAGAGUCCUUUAAUAGGGAAGCAAACACUGUUGUGGUGUCUUCAGCAGAAGAGUCCUUUAAUAGGGAAGUGAACACUGUUGUGUCUUCAGCAGAAGAGUCCUUUAAUAGGGAAGUAAACAAACACUGUUGUGGUGUCUUCAGCAGAAUAGAAGAGUCCUUUAAUAGGGAAGUAACCAAACACUGUUGUGGUGUCUUCAGCAGAAGAGAAGUGUCCUUUAAUAGGGAAGUAACCAAACACUGUUGUGGUGUCUUCAGCAGAAGAGUCCUUUAAUAGGGAAGCAAACACUGUUGUGGUGUCUUCAGCAGAAGAGUCCUUUAAUAGGGAAGCAAACACUGUUGUGGUGUCUUCAGCAGAAGAGAAGAGUCCUUUAAUAGGGAAGUAAACACUGUUGUGGUGUCUUCAGCAGAAGAGUCCUUUAAUAGGGAAGUAGCAGAAGAGUCCUUUAAUAGGGAAGCAAACACUGUUUGGUGUCUUCAGCAGAAGUCACUUCAGCCCUCAGUCGACAUGAGCCCUGCUGAGUUCAGGGAGGGAGAGAGCGAAAGAUGGAGUGAAGCAUGGGGAGGGAGAGAGUGCAUGAUGGAGAGAAGCUCUCUUUGUAGUGGAAGAGAGAGAGAAAAGAGAGGACAGAGAUGUGGAGCAGAGAGAGAGAGAGCCUGCUGUGAACAGUGGGAAGAGACAGGAAAAGAUGCAGGUGAUGUGUGAGAGAAAAAGAAAAAGAAAGAGAAAGAGAGAGUUGCUGGACAGAGAAAGAGAGAGAAAGAAAGAGAAAGUUGAGGGUGAGAGAACAGAGGGAUGCAGGGUGGAAGUCAAGAGUAGCGAGAAGUAGGAGAACAAACAGAAAGAGAGAAGGAGGGAGAGAGAGAGAGUAAGGGCCGGGAGAAGGGGGUGGUAAUGACAGCACGAGGGCAAGCCAGAGCUCCGGCAGAGAUGAAGAAAGCACAGCACUUUAAAAAAAGAAAGAACGAAAGAAAGAAAGAAAAAGAGAAAUAGGGGAAUAGAGGAAAAGAGUGAAGUGGG
ensembl:lncRNA